UACGUAGGUGACCAGCGUUGUCCGGAUUUACUGGGCGUAAAGAGCGCGCAGGCGGUCGUUCAAGUCGAGUGUGAAAGCCCCCGGCUCAACUGGGGAGGGUCAUUCGAUACUGAUCGACUCGAAGGCAGGAGAGGGAAGUGGAAUUCCCGGUGUAGUGGUGAAAUGCGUAGAUAUCGGGAGGAACACCAGUGGCGAAGGCGACUUCCUGGCCUGUUCUUGACGCUGAGGCGCGAAAGCUGAGGGGAGCAAACGGGG
rnacentral:rRNA from 1 species